UACGAAGGGGGCGAGCGUUGUUCGGAAUUACUGGGCGUAAAGGGCGCGUAGGCGGCGACCCAAGUCAGAUGUGAAAGUCCUGGGCUUAACCUGGGGACUGCAUUUGAUACUGGGUUGCUUGAAUUCGGGAGAGGAUAGCGGAAUUCCUAGUGUAGAGGUGAAAUUCGUAGAUAUUGGGAAGAACACCGGUGGCGAAGGCGGCUAUCUGGACCGACAUUGACGCUGAGGCGCGAAAGCGUGGGGAGCAAACAGG
rnacentral:rRNA from 1 species